rnacentral:rRNA from 1 species
UGUCCUACGGGGGGAGCAGUGGGGACUAUUGGGCUUUGUUCGCAAGUCUGCCCCAGCAACGCCGCGUGAAGGAAGAAGGCUCUCGGGUUGUAAACUUCUUUUAAGGGGGAAGAGCAGAAGACGGUACCCCUUGAAUAAGCCACGGCUAACUACGUGCCAGCAGCCGCGGUAAUACGUAGGUGGCAAGCGUUGUCCGGAUUUACUGGGUGUAAAGGGCGUGCAGCCGGAGAGACAAGUCAGAUGUGAAAUCCACGGGCUCAACCCGUGAACUGCAUUUGAAACUGUUUCCCUUGAGUGUCGGAGAG